rnacentral:rRNA from 1 species
GAUGAACGCUAGCGGCAGGCUUAACACAUGCAAGUCGAGGGGUAGAAGGAGCUUGCUCCUUUGAGACCGGCGCACGGGUGCGUAACGCGUAUGCAAUCUACCUUUUGCAGAGGAUAGCCCAGAGAAAUUUGGAUUAAUACCUCAUAGUAUAGUACUUUGGCAUCAAGGAACUAUUAAAGUCACAACGGCAAAAGAUGAGCAUGCGUCCCAUUAGCUAGUUGGUAAGGUAACGGCUUACCAAGGCUACGAUGGGUAGGGGUCCUGAGAGGGAGAUCCCCCCACACUGGUACUGAGACACGGACCAGACUCCUACGGGAGGCAGCAGUGAGGAAUAUUGGACAAUGGGCGCAAGCCUGAUCCAGCCAUGCCGCGUGCAGGAUGACGGUCCUAUGGAUUGUAAACUGCUUUUGUACAGGGAAGAAACACUACUUCGUGAAGUAGCUUGACGGUACUGUAAGAAUAAGGAUCGGCUAACUCCGU